UGUGUAGGCGGCUUUUUAAGUUUGGUGUGAAAUCUCCCGGCUCAACUGGGAGGGUGCGCCGAAUACUGAAAGGCUUCGAGUGCGGGAGAGGAAAGUGGAAUUCCUGGUGUAGCGGUGAAAUGCGUAGAUAUCAGGAGGAACACCGGUGGUGUAGACGGCUUUCUGGACCGUAACUGACGCUGAGACACGAAAGCGUGGGUAGCAAACAGGAUUAGAUACCCUGGUAGUCCACGCCCUAAACGAUGCAUAUUUGGUGUGGGUCAUUCAGUUGAUCCGUGCCGGAGCUAACGCGUUAAAUAUGCCGCCUGGGGAGUACAGUCGCAAGGCUAGAA
rnacentral:rRNA from 1 species